AUGGCGAUGCUGAAGAAGGGCACUAGCGUCCUGUGUUUCGUGGCCAGCGUCAUGGUGGUCAUAGCUACCACCCUUCUUCUCUCCUCCUGCGAUGCCCACAAAGAGGCAGAUGAGACUGUUGUGUUUCCCUUGCCGGCGCCAUGCUACUCCAUCUCUUUCCCAAACUGUACUGAUGACAAGCGCAAGAAGUUUUGCGGCAGCGUAGGCAAGCGGCCAGCCCCCAAGGCAUUCUGCAAUGACAAUAAUAACUGCUGUUGUCCUGUCAUUCAACUUUUGUUUAUCCUGUGUGUAUCUCUUGUUCGUAUGAGCAUGGACCAGUGCAUGUUCGUUAAUGUUGUCUUGUUCCCAUUUAGCCCUGGAUGGGCUUCAUGCUUUUUAGGUGCAAAAGGUUUGGCAGUCCUACUUGCUGUAGUACUACCAGUACAGACUAGCAUGUCGUGUCAAGUUCUAGGCACUCUAGCUAGUACUGUUGUUCUCCGAGCCAACACGAUACCCCCCACAAAAGGGUUUGACAGGAGAACCCCAAGUAUAUAA
rnacentral:rRNA from 1 species